UACGUAGGGGCCGAGCGUUGUCCGGAUUUAUUGGGCGUAAAGCGCGCGCAGGCGGCCUCGCGCGCCCGACGUGAAAGCCCCCGGCUUAACCGGGGAGGGUCGUUGGGGACGGCGGGGCUUGAGGGCGGGAGAGGUCGGUGGAAUUCCCGGUGUAGUGGUGAAAUGCGUAGAGAUCGGGAGGAACACCUGUGGCGAAGGCGGCCGACUGGGCCGACCCUGACGCUGAGGCGCGAAGGCGUGGGGAGCGAACGGG
rnacentral:rRNA from 1 species